CAGUCGCCACGGUAAUACGUAGGGUGCGAGCGUUAAUCGGAAUUACUGGGCGUAAAGCGUGCGCAGGCGGUUGUGUAAGACAGGUGUGAAAUCCCCGGGCUUAACCUGGGAACUGCGCUUGUGACUGCACAGCUAGAGUAUGGCAGAGGGGGGUGGAAUUCCACGUGUAGCAGUGAAAUGCGUAGAGAUGUGGAGGAACACCGAUGGCGAAGGCAGCCCCCUGGGCCAAUACUGACGCUCAUGCACGAAAGCGUGGGGAGCAAACAGGAUUAGAUACCCGAGUAGUCCCUGUCUCUUAUAC
rnacentral:rRNA from 1 species